rnacentral:rRNA from 1 species
AUUGAACGCUGGCGGCAGGCCUAACACAUGCAAGUCGAACGAGUGGCGGACGGGUGAGUAAUGUCUGGGAAACUGCCCGAUGGAGGGGGAUAACUACUGGAAACGGUAGCUAAUACCGCAUACCAUCGGAUGUGCCCAGAUGGGAUUAGCUAGUAGGUGGGGUAACGGCUCACCUAGGCGACGAUCCAUAGAUGGUCUGAGAGGAUGACCAGCCACACUGGAACUGAGAGCCGGUCCAGAUUCCUACGUGAGGCAGCAGUGGGGAAUAUUGCACAAUGGGCGCAAGCCUGAUGCAGCCAUGCCGCUUGUAGGAAGAAGGCCUUCGGGUUGUAAAGUACUUUCAGCGAGGAGGCGUUACUCGCAGAAGAAGCACCGGCUAACUCCGUGCCAGCAGCCGCGGUAAUAC